rnacentral:rRNA from 1 species
CACUAUGCCCAGCCCUAAACUUUGAUAGAUCAUUACACCCACUAUCCGCCAGGGUACUACGAGCAUUAGCUUAAAACCCAAAGGACUUGGCGGUGCUUUACAUCCACCUAGAGGAGCCUGUUCUAGAACCGAUAACCCCCGUUAAACCUCACCCUCCCUUGUUUUUUCCGCCUAUAUACCGCCGUCGUCAGCUUACCCUGUGAAGGUUUAAUAGUAAGCAGAAUUGGUAAAACCCAAAACGCCAGGUCGAGGUGUAGCGAAUGAGAGGGGAAGAAAUGGGCUACAUUUCCUAAACCAGGAAAUACGGACAAUGUACUGAAACGUACAUUAGAAGGAGGAUUUAGCAGUAAGCAGAAAAUAGAGCGUUCCGCUGAAACUGGCCCUGAAGCGCGCACACACCGCCCGUCACUCUCCCCGAGCUAACAUAGAUAUAUUCUUAAUAACCAACACCUGCAAAGGGGAGGCAAGUCGUAA